rnacentral:rRNA from 1 species
GUUGUUCGGAAUUACUGGGCGUAAAGCGCACGUAGGCGGCUUUGCAAGUUAGAGGUGAAAGCCCGGGGCUCAACUCCGGAAUUGCCUUUAAAACUGCAUCGCUAGAAUUGUGGAGAGGUAAGUGGAAUUCCGAGUGUAGAGGUGAAAUUCGUAGAUAUUCGGAAGAACACCAGUGGCGAAGGCGACUUACUGGACACAUAUUGACGCUGAGGUGCGAAAGCGUGGGGAGCAAACAGG